UACGGGAGGCAGCAGUGGGGAAUAUUGCACAAUGGGCGGAAGCCUGAUGCAGCGACGCCGCGUGAGGGAUGACGGCCUUCGGGUUGUAAACCUCUUUCAGCAGGGAAGAAGCGUGAGUGACGGUACCUGCAGAAGAAGCGCCGGCUAACUACGUGCCAGCAGCCGCGGUAAUACGUAGGGCGCAAGCGUUGUCCGGAAUUAUUGGGCGUAAAGAGCUCGUAGGCGGCUUGUCGCGUCGGUUGUGAAAGCCCGGGGCUUAACCCCGGGUCUGCAGUCGAUACGGGCAGGCUAGAGUUCGGUAGGGGAGAUCGGAAUUCCUGGUGUAGCGGUGAAAUGCGCAGAUAUCAGGAGGAACACCGGUGGCGAAGGCGGAUCUCUGGGCCGAUACUGACGCUGAGGAGCGAAAGCGUGGGGAGCGAACAGGAUUAGAUACCCUGGUAGUCCACGCCGUAAACGUUGGGAACUAGGUGUGGGCGACAUUCCACGUCGUCCGUGCCGCAGCUAACGCAUUAAGUUCCCCGCCUGGGGAGUACGGCCGCAAGGCUAAAACUCAAAGGAAUUGACGGGGGCCCGCACAAGCGGCGG
rnacentral:rRNA from 1 species